rnacentral:rRNA from 1 species
UACGUAGGCAGCAAGCGUUGUUCGGAAUUACUGGGCGUAAAGCGUGCGUAGGCGGUGCGACAAGUUCGGUGUGAAAUCUCCCGGCUCAACUGGGAGGGUGCGCCGAAAACUGUCGUGCUCGAGUGUGGGAGAGGUAAGCGGAAUUCCUGGUGUAGCGGUGAAAUGCGUAGAUAUCAGGAGGAACACCUGCGGUGUAGACGGCUUACUGGACCAUAACUGACGCUGAGGCACGAAAGUGUGGGUAGCAAACAGG